GACUUCGUCAGCGAUCUUCCGGUGGAGAUCCUCGCCGGCGGUGCCUACCCAUUUUAGUAAAGUUGGAAAAAGCACUUUCAUUCCGCCGUAGGCGUUGAAUCCGGCGAGAAACACUAAAUUGUGACACGCUUUCUCUCUGUCUAUCCCCUGUUUUUCUGCUUCGUCUAGAAAUGUUCCAGAGGAGGAGUAAAACGCAUUGUAAAGCUUCCUAUAACCACUUUUGACUGGAAAGAAAGGCAGGGGAAUGGUAUGAAUGAUG
rnacentral:misc_RNA from 1 species